GAACGGAAACAGCUAAGUACCCGGAGGAGAAGAAAGCAAAAGCGAUUCCCUAAGUAGCGGCGAGCGAAAUGGGAACAGCCCAAAACAAGAGGCUUGCCUCGUGGGGUUGUAGGACACUCAAUACGGAGGGACAAAGGAACGGAGUAGACGAAGCGGUCUGGAAAGGCUCGCCAGAGGAGGUAACAGCCCUGUAGUCGAAACUUCGUUCCCUCCGGAGUGGAUCCUGAGUACGGCGGGACAAGAGGAAUCCCGUCGGAAGCAGGGAGGACCAUCUCCCAAGGCUAAAUACUCCCUAGUGACCGAUAGUGAACCAGUACCGUGAGGGAAAGGGGAAAAGCACCCCGGGAGGGGAGCGAAAGGGAACCUGAAACCGUGUGCCUACAAGUAGUCAGAGCCCGGUGAUGGGUGAUGGCGUGCCUUUUGUAGAAUGAACCGGCGAGUUACUAUCUCGUGCG
rnacentral:rRNA from 1 species